rnacentral:lncRNA from 1 species
UGAAAUUUUUUCCAAUCGCUUACAUUAAAAAUAUAAUUUUGCAAAUAAAAAUUAGUGUAUGUCCUCAACAAAGUAAGAAAUAAGUUAUCUUUAUUAUUUUUGUUAAUGUGCAAUGUGAACGUUUAUAUUUAUAUACAGAAUCGAUUAAAAGCCAAAAUAUUUUGCACAUAUAUGAGAAAAUAUUUAUGGGAUGUAUUAAGUAAAAAAAUCUGAGUAUACAGAGUGAAUCAUAAGUGCAGAAUUGCAGACAGGUGUAUUCUAUAAAUAAAAAGAAGAAAAUUUUUACAUAAAGAUGGACUGUAGUUUUCACACUUCGUUAAGAAUAUUUAGCAAGUAGGCACUUAUGGGAGGAUCAUUAAGCAUUUUAUGGGAGGAUCAUUAAGCAUUUUAUGGGAGUCAAAGCAUAACAUGAUAAAACGCUCUCGACAGAAGUGUCCCUUUUCAAUUUACAUCGUGAACAAAACUAGACAGAGCAGCCCUUCAAAUUUUAUCAUAUACCCUAAGGCUCAUAAAGAUCUUAAGACAUUGCUCUAUCUGGAAAGAGGCCCUGGUCCACCAAAAACGUACUAUAGGGUCUUUCUGCAUGAUGUAAUUAGGCUUUAAUCAUAGUCAACGCUCUACUCUCGUUCCAUCGAACGAGAGAGGCUAGGCUAAUCCAUCACCUAACCGGCAGGCCGGGUAGGAGAUCAUUCCAGCCGGUGCCUCUCGUGCAAGAUGUUGUUAUAGCAAUCGGUAAUGGCCGAGAUGGUCGGCAUUAAGCGCCGCAAACAACUGUUCCCAAGUUCCCAAUGGAUCAGAAAAUACAACCGACGACGAAAGCAAAGUUUAACGACGAUAGGUUCUCCAGCUAUAAGAGGAACUUCUUUUUCGAAACUUGUAAUUUUUGAUUUAGUUAACCAUUUGAAUUUUGCUAUCGCUAAAUAAGAUGACUUUGCGUAUUAUAUAAUUUAUUAGCAAACAUUGAAAUAAAUGAAACGUUCAUGCAUAUAUUGUCAUAAUUAGUAAGACAAUAAGGAUUAUUUUGUGAUUGAAAGUUUUUACUUCCUAAUUGAUACGCACUUCGUCCAAUGGCACAUUUUACUUAUAAAUGUGUAUUUCAUUAAAAAGUGAUAAUUUGAUUUUUGUUGUCAUUCUCAAAUUAGCGGUAAUCUUCAUAUUUGGAAUUUAAAAAUAAUAUACAGGACCAAUUUUAUAAUAAUCCAAAGAUAAUUUUUCAGAAAUAUCAACUGAAAAGAACUCCAUUUACAUUUUGUCAUAAUCCUAAAUAAUUUCAAAUAUUUUUACUUAAAAGUUUUCCAACAAAUAGAGCAUGAUGGUAAUCAUCUUAGAAAUGUCGGAAUUUGUCUGAUUAUUAUAAAAAUAUUUUUAGGAGGAACACACUUCAUUCAAAGCAGAUAUAUCACUAAAAUAUGAAGAGAGGAAAAUUCCUUCGUCUUAAUAAAUUAGAGUUUUUUUAUCAUCAUGUAAAUAUUCAUAAAAAUUCGAGGAUGAAAAUUGGAACUUAUAGGAUUGUUACAACCUACCUCUCUAUCCAAAUAGAUUGUAACGACUAGUGAGGUAAACUGUAAUACUAAAAAAUUUCAUUAUUUCACUUAAAAGGCUGUAUCCAAGUUUCCUUUGCACUCAAAUUUUAGAGUAAAGCCUAAUAAUACUAUUCAAAAGCAUAACAGCUUUACCAUGGUAUUCAAUUUAAAAUAUAAGUACGGACUAUUCAAAACAAUUCAAGGUAGGCUAUUCAAAACAAAACUUUAUUUGCUGAGUGCUUUUUAUUGCUUUAGGCCGGCCGCAAACUAGUCGAUAUUUUAGCAUCCGAUCACAUUAGAUGUCAAAUUAUGGAA